GACGAACGCUGGCGGCGUGCUUAACACAUGCAAGUCGAGCGGUAAGGCCCUUCGGGGUACACGAGCGGCGAACGGGAGCGUAACACGUGGGUGAUCUUCCCUGCACUUCGGGAUAAGCCUGGGAAACUGGGUCUAAUACCGGAUAUGACCUCCUAUCGCAUGGUGGGUGGUGGAAAGAUUUAUCGGUGCAGGAUGGGCCCGCGGCCUAUCAGCUUGUUGGUGGGGUAAUGGCCUACCAAGGCCACGACGGGUAGCCGUCCUGAGAGGGUGACCGGCCACACUGGGACUGAGACACGGCCCAGACUCCUACGGGAGGCAGCAGUGGGGAAUAUUGCACAAUGGGCGAAAGCCUGAUGCAGCGACGCCGCGUGAGGGAUGACGGCCUUCGGGUUGUAAACCUCUUUCAGCAGGGACGAAGCGCAAGUGACGGUACUUGCAGAAGAAGCACCGGCUAACUACGUG
rnacentral:rRNA from 1 species